rnacentral:rRNA from 1 species
GGUGAACGCUGGCGGUAGGCCUAACACAUGCAAGUCGAACGGCAGCACAGUAAGAGCUUGCUCUUACGGGUGGCGAGUGGCGGACGGGUGAGGAAUACAUCGGAAUCUACUUUUUCGUGGGGGAUAACGUAGGGAAACUUACGCUAAUACCGCAUACGACCUACGGGUGAAAGCAGGGGAUCUUCGGACCUUGCGCGAUUGAAUUAGCCGAUGUCGGAUUAGCUAGUUGGCGGGGUAAAGGCCCACCAAGGCGACGAUCCGUAGCUGGUCUGAGAGGAUGAUCAGCCACACUGGAACUGAGACACGGUCCAGACUCCUAAGGGAGGCAGCAGUGGGGAAUAUUGGACAAUGGGCGCAAGCCUGAUCCAGCCAUCCCGCGUGGGUGAAGAAGGCCUUCGGGUUGUAAAGACCUUUUGUUGGGAAAGAAAAGCAGCAGGUUAAUACCCCGCUGUUCUGACGGUACCCAAAGAAUAAGCACCGGCUAACUUCGAG